GGCCUGAGGUUUCUGAAUGGUGUUUCUGAGUUAUACAGUUAUCCCUUGUUAUUGGUGGGUACUGGUUCCAAGACUGCGCCCCAUUGAUACCAAAAUCCAUGGAUGGUCAAGUCCCUAAUAUAAAAUGGCAUAGUACUUACAUAUAACCUACUCACAUCCUCCAAUAUACUUUAAAUUGUCCCUAGAUUGCUUAUAACAGGGGUCUUGAAUCCCCGGGCUGUAGACCUAUACUGGUCCGUGGCCUGUGAGGAGGUGAGUAGUGGACAAGUGAGAGCAUUACCACCUGAGCUCUGCCUCUUGUCAGAUCAGUGGCAGAAGAUUCUCAUAGGAGUGGGAACCCUGUUGUGAACUGCGCAUGUGAGGGAUCUAGAUUGUGUGCUCCUUAAGAUAAUCUAAUGCCUGACAAUCUGAGGUUAAACAGUUUCAUCCCCAAACUAUCUACCCCUUCCCCUGCUGUCCCAUAGAAAAAUUGUCUCCCACAAAACCAGCCCCUGGUGUGAAAAUGGUUGGGGGGCCACUGGCUUAUAAUACCUAACACAAUGUAAAUGCUAUGUAAAUAGUUAUUAUAAUGUAUUGUUUAGGGACUAAUAACAGGAAAAAAGUCUAUACUUGUUCAGUACAUACACACUGUCCUUUUUUUCUGAAUAUUUUUGAUUUGUAGAUGGUUGAAUCCAUGGAUGUGGAACCCACGGAUAUGGAGGGCUGACUUUGUUCAACUAUGCUAAUCCUUUGGCCAGGUCACAUCCCUGUACUUCAGCUACUUUAUAAUCUGAAAGCUGUUCCUGCAUGGAAAGGAUACCCCAUGAUUCUCCUACCACCAGAUGCUACUGAGGCUAAACUGAUUAGACUGAGUAAAAAUAUCUAUGGGGAAAACUGUCUUUCAGAAUCCUACUUUGAACUAGAGAAAUCCAUUCUCUUGAGGCUGUCUGCUGUGGAGAAGUUGGCCUUAUCAAUCUGCUUUUGGAGUUCAAGUUAUACAGGUUUGCAUUUUUUCCUUAUUUGACUCUACAUUCUCCACUCUAUUUUUCAGAUGACUACCUGCUUGUCUGCAUGUAUUAUAAUUAUUGUUGUUCUGCUUAUUAUUUCUGCUUACCAGUUUUCUUGGCUCUUGCUAGUUUUUACUACUCACCUCAGUCUGAACCCAUAUAAAUC
rnacentral:lncRNA from 1 species